AGAAUGGUAAAUGUGAGUUUAUCAAGGCGGAGAGGCAGACAUCAACAGAGGACUCAAGAGGAGAACCCUAUGAAGUAUAUAUUUUUCUCCUCUGAGGAGAAAAGAGAAAAAAAUGGAAACACAAAGAGUUUGAAUAACAGGCUACAAGUUAGGUCCGAAGCUGCUAUGUGGCAGUGCCUGAAUCUGAAGAUGGCCUGACUCCAGAGCCUGCACACCUAACCAGUGUCCACACGAGAAAGAGGAGAAUGAGUGGAGCUGUGCCACCUCCCACCAGCAGCACCGUCAUCAUCGCUAACACAAAGCAGACUCUAAUCUUGUGUUCUCUCACCAUUAACUCAAUAUCAGAACUACAUAGCAAGAGAAGUGCUAUUAUUAUUCCAUUUUACAGCUUUCCUGUCCUGAGUGAAAGAAUAGAUGGGAGAGGAGUCACCAAGAUGAUUCUGUGACUUUCUGGUCCAAUGAAACCUGCUUGGCGAAUGGUUCCUGGUUCCUGGUGGGAGUUCUUUUCUGAAAAGCCAGUCCUUGUGUACAGAUACUUUGUGAGGGCAACUCAUAUUCUACUGAAUAACUCUGUAGAAAGAAUCACAUGCCUCUGGGCAGAGGUGACCAAGAUGAGCUACUGGGAUGUGGGAAGAAGACAAAUAGCGGCCAGACUCAGAAUACCUUCCUUUUGACUCUGCAGUCAGAGAUGCCUCCUGAAGCCCGCCGGCUGGCGGGGACAUGAGGUCAUUAAAGAAAGAACUGGAUCUGUUGGAUGAGUUUGGGAAAAGGAAUUUCUGUACCAUCCUACCAAUGCUAACCAUUGCUUGUUUGCUUUUCCCCCCAUCUUUUUAGUCAUUUGCUUAUAAUGAAUAUUUUUGGAUUUUCGCAAAGAUAUUAGAAUCUCAGUUUUUCAAAUGUGGGCCAAAAUUCAAAUAAUAAUUCUGUAUUGAUACUGGAAAUCAAGGAAAAGACCCCCAACUUCACAAAUCAGUUGUUUUUCAUAACUAUGUUUCAAACAUAACUAUAAUUUCACAUGCUUUUUCUUUUAAAAUUGUUUUAUGUUUAAUAUUUGAUAAUAAUGUCUUUUGAACUUUAAGAUUAAAAUACUAACUUAUGUUUCUUGGGGGCAAUUGAUAGUUAUUGACAGAAAUUUUUAGCUUUUCAUGACAAAAUAUCUGUAUGAUUCUCUCACAAUCUUGUUUGAAAUUUUAUAAUAUGGACUUGGGAAAAGUUCCUUAAGUUCAUUAAAGAAUUCUUGAAAAUGUACAGUGUUUUCAGGAUAGACUGUGUUGUCUAAACUAUUUUUCUAAAAUAAAGCUCUUUGCUCUAUUUUUAUACAAAUACAAAAGACAAGAAGAAAACAAAAUAAAACUAUUGUUGAUUUUUA